rnacentral:rRNA from 1 species
GGGCAGACUAGAGUGCAGUAGGGGAGACUGGAAUUCCUGGUGUAGCGGUGAAAUGCGCAGAUAUCAGGAGGAACACCGAUGGCGAAGGCAGGUCUCUGGGCUGUUACUGACGCUGAGGAGCGAAAGCAUGGGGAGCGAACAGGAUUAGAUACCCUGGUAGUCCAUGCCGUAAANNNNNNNNNNUAGGUGUGGGGGACAUUCCACGUUUUCCGCGCCGUAGCUAACGCAUUAAGUGCCCCGCCUGGGGAGUACGGCCGCAAGGCUAAAACUCAAAGGAAUUGACGGGGGCCCGCACAAGCGGCGGAGCAUGCGGAUUAAUUCGAUGCAACGCGAAGAACCUUACCAAGGCUUGACAUUCACCGGACCGCCCCAGAGAUGGGGUUUCCCUUCGGGGCUGGUGGACAGGUGGUGCAUGGUUGUCGUCAGCUCGUGUCGUGAGAUGUUGGGUUAAGUCCCGCAACGAGCGCAACCCUCGUUCUAUGUUGCCAGCACGUGAUGGUGGGGACUCAUAGGAGACUGCCGGGGUCAACUCGGAGGAAGGUGGGGAUGACGUCAAAUCAUCAUGCCCCUUAUGUCUUGGGCUUCACGCAUGCUACAAUGGCCGGUACAAAGGGUUGCGAUACUGUGAGGUGGAGCUAAUCCCAAAAAGCCGGUCUCAGUUCGGAUUGAGGUCUGCAACUCGACCUCAUGAAGUCGGAGUCGCUAGUAAUCGCAGAUCAGCAACGCUGCGGUGAAUACGUUCCCGGGCCUUGUACACACCGCCCGUCAAGUCACGAAAGUUGGUAACACCCGAAGCCGGU